rnacentral:rRNA from 1 species
CCUACGGGUGGCUGCAGUGGGGAAUCUUGCGCAAUGGCCGAGAGGCUGACGCAGCGACGCCGCGUGGGGGAUGAAGCAUUUCGGUGUGUAAACCCCUGUUGCUCGGGACGAACGAUCCUUUUCGAGGGAUGUGACGGUACCGAGUGAGGAAGCACCGGCUAACUCCGUGCCAGCAGCCGCGGUAAUACGGAGGGUGCGAGCGUUGUCCGGAAUCACUGGGCGUAAAGGGCGCGUAGGUGGUUGGAUGCGCCGGUGGUGAAAGCGCAGGGCUCAAC